rnacentral:rRNA from 1 species
GACGAACGCUGGCGGCGUGCCUAAUACAUGCAAGUCGAGCGGACCGAACGAGGGCUUGCUCUUGUUUGGUCAGCGGCGGACGGGUGAGUAACACGUGGGCAACCUGCCCGCAAGACCGGGAUAACUCCGGGAAACCGGAGCUAAUACCGGAUAACACCGAAGACCGCAUCGUCUUCGGUUGAAAGGCGGCCUUUGGGCUGUCACAAGCGGAUGGGCCCGCGGCGCAUUAGCUAGUUGGUGAGGUAACGGCUCACCAAGGCGACGAUGCGUGGCCGGCCGGAGAGGGUGACCGGCCCCACUGGGACUGAGACACGGCCCAGACUCCUACGGGAGGCAGCAGUAGGGAAUCUUCCGCAAUGGGCGAAAGCCUGACGGAGCGAGGCCGCGUGAGCGAAGAAGGCCUUCGGGUCGUAAGGCUCUGUUGUGAGGGACGAAGGAGCGCCGUUCGAAGAGGGCGGCGCGGUGACGGUACCUCACGAGAAAGCCCCGGCUAACUACGUGCCAGCAGCCGCCGUAA